rnacentral:rRNA from 1 species
CAAGUCGAACGGAGUUUUAACGGAAGUUUCGGAUGGAAGUUAGAACUAGUGGCGGACGGGUGAGUAACGCGUGGGUAACCUGCCUCAGUACAGGGGGAUAACAGUUAGAAAUGACUGCUAACACCGCAUAAUAUAGCGAAACCGCAUGAUUUUGCUAUCAAAUAUUUAUAGGUAUGAGAUGGGCCCGCGUCUGAUUAGCUAGUUGGUGGGGUAAAAGCCUACCAAGGCGACGAUCAGUAGCCGGCUUGAGAGAGUGACCGGCCACAUUGGGACUGAGACACGGCCCAAACUCCUACGGGAGGCAGCAGUGGGGAAUAGUUGGACAAUGGGGGGAAACCCUGAUCCAGCGACGCCCGCGUGAGUGAAGAAGUAUUUCGGUAUGUAAAGCUCUAUCAGCAGGGAAGAUAAUGACAGUACCUGACUAAGAAGCCCCGGCUAACUACGUGCCAGCAGCUGC